rnacentral:rRNA from 1 species
GAGCGGCGAACGGGUGAGAACACGUGGGUGAUCUGCCCUGUACUUCGGGAUAAGCCUGGGAAACUGGGUCUAAUACCGGAUAUGACCAUGGGAUGCAUGUCUUGUGGUGGAAAGAUUUAUCGGUGCAGGAUGGGCCCGCGGCCUAUCAGCUUGUUGGUGGGGUAAUGGCCUACCAAGGCGACGACGGGUAGCCGACCUGAGAGGGUGACCGGCCACACUGGGACUGAGACACGGCCCAGACUCCUACGGGAGGCAGCAGUGGGGAAUAUUGCACAAUGGGCGGAAGCCUGAUGCAGCGACGCCGCGUGAGGGAUGACGGCCUUCGGGUUGUAAACCUCUUUCGACAGGGACGAAGCGUAAGUGACGGUACCUGUAGAAGAAGCACCGGCCAACUACGUGCCAGCAGCCGCGGUAAUACGUAGGGUGCGAGCGUUGUCCGGAAUUACUGGGCGUAAAGAGCUUGUAGGCGGUUCGUCGCGUCGAUCGUGAAAACUGGCGGCUCAACUGCCAGCUUGCGGUCGAUACGGGCG